rnacentral:rRNA from 1 species
CACUGAACACUAUGCUAAGUCGAGUCGGUAACAGGGAAGUAGCUUGCUACUUCGCUGACGAGCGGCGGACGGGUGAGUAAUGCCUGGGAAUAUGCCUUGAUGUGGGGGAUAACUAUUGGAAACGAUAGCUAAUACCUGCGAUAAUGCCUACGGGCCAAAGAGGGGGAUCUUCGGACCUCUCGCGUCAAGAUUAGCCCAGGUGGGAUUAGCUAGUUGGUGGGGUAAAGGCUCACCAAGGCGACGAUCCCUAGCUGGUCUGAGAGGAUGAUCAGCCACACUGGAACUGAGACACGGUCCAGACUCCUACGGGAGGCAGCAGUGGGGAAUAUUGCACAAUGGGGGAAACCCUGAUGCAGCCAUGCCGCGUGUAUGAAGAAGGCCUUCGGGUUGUAAAGUACUUUCAGCAGCUGAGGAAGGUGGUAAUGUUAAUAGCAUCAUCAUUUGACGUUAGCUGCAGAAGAAGCACCGGCUAACUCCGUGCCAGCAGCCGCGGUAAUACGGAGGGUGCGAGCGUUAAUCGGAAUUACUGGGCGUAAAGCGCAUGCAGGCGGUCUGUUAAGCAAGAUGUGAAAGCCCGGGGCUCAACCUCGGAACAGCAUUUUGAUACUGGCAGACUAGAGUCUUGUAGAGGGGGGUAGAAUUUCAGGUGUAGCGGUGAAAUGCGUAGAGAUCUGAAGGAAUACCGAGUGGCGAAGGCGGCCCCCUGGACAAAGACUGACGCUCA